CCCUCAACAGUUGCGCUUCAGCAUCCAUCAUGGCCUCUUCCUGGCGUCACCAUUCCAGAUGUAACUGAACAGUAUAGUGCUCGAGCAGACAAAAAAGCUUUAAUUGGAUUAACAUUGAAGGUACCAACGAAGCAUUAGAGAAAACAAAAAGAGUAGUUCAUCUCUUUGGAAGGCCCUGUAAUUUAUUAGGCUUGAUUCGAAUUUGAGAGGACGAGCUUAAACACCCCUAUGUUGUGCUUGGAAUAUAAACUAGUUAGGCUUGAGAUUGAAGCUAUGAAUGAAACUCGAAUUCAACUAGUUAGACAUGGGAUGAAUUUUAUCGAGCUAAUUCCACAGUGUUCAUAUUCGACUCUGCUUAGAACACGGUUAGUUUAGUUUAGGCUCGAUCACUUCAAGUCGAGCCUGGUUGGUGUGUUUGGACAAAGCUAAUUUUGAUGACUUCUUCUUGCAUGUAUCCUUCGAUUCGGUUGCUAAGACGGUGAGUUCAGUGUUCUUUUUAUUCGAAUCAAACACAUUCAAGAUUGAAAACUGGAAUCGAUCUACAAAUUGAGGACAGAAGAUGAACACAAUCAAGUUUCUAAACUGGAAACGAAAUGCAAAUUGGGAUAGAAGAUGAUUCCUACUUUGAGAUAGCGAGAGAACUCGGCUUCUUGUCGGGAUGUAAGAUAUUUUGAUCGCUCCGAUCUCGAAGAGCAUGUUUUACCUAAGAGAAACCUGCUCGCAAUCCCAUCCU
rnacentral:lncRNA from 1 species